rnacentral:lncRNA from 1 species
CCCCCGCGCCACCUGGAGCCAGGCGUGAGCCCUCCCCGCCCACCUGCCCGCCCCGCGGCACCCAGAGCCGCUACAUUCUCCAGAAAUUCUGUCCUUAAGGCUAAAAUCCUGUAGUGAAAGAGAUCAACAUAAUCAUAUAAUUGCAUUAUUAAAACCUUUACCGUCAUGCCUAUUCUUAUGCAUAAAGGUUGCACAUUAUGUACAAUAUUUAGAGUAGUGUAAGGAGGCUGGAAUAAUUGUGGUCGUUGAUAUUGUGUUGCAAAAUGUAAAAAAGGAAAUGUGAUUAUCAUAGUAUAUAUUUAAAAAAAAACUUUAUUGCGUGCACUUUGUUAGUGAGAGCUUUAUGAAUAGGAUCUUUACAGGCAUGUAAAGGAACUGAGGCUGCCUGUGUAUGGAUAAGAGGAGAGAGAACUUGGGUAUGUUCUAGUUUGCUGAGCUGCUAGUGAAGGAAGGAAAGACUUGAACUUGUGCAGUUUAUUUUUUUUUGUCUGUUUAUUUUCCAUUAAUAACAUUUGAAUCCCUUAGCUAGCACCAGCCACAAAAUGUUUAGAAAAAUAAUCUGGAAAGGAGCAUGUCACCCUUCAAAAAAGUGGCAACAUGAAUGGCAAUGCCCAUUACACAUUCAAGAAUCCAUCCACAGAGGACUGCCAUCUGAAGCAUGAGUUAACAGAAAUCAGGGCAAGUUUUUCAGAUUCAGGAGAGAAUACUUUGUCACGUGUUUGUAAAGCAGCCAGGUCUCUACAGUCUCUGGGCAGAUUCUGGCACUGUACUCAUAAGGAGCAAAAACAACAUAUGAAUGCUUCCUGUGGGAUGCUUCAGAUGUACUGUGGUGGUAUCAAUGUUCUAAAGCAUUUAGUGAAUAGGUAAGGUGGUGAGAGACAUAAGAAGAGGCCAGGAAGGAAUUAAAACUUAUCUUUUUAGCCUGACUAUGUUGGGGGUUUUUUAUCUGAACAUAUGAUCUAAUCAGUUUAACUACAAUUAACUUCCUCUUUGUAAAAUUUCAAGCCAAAGAUACUCCUCACUGCAUCUCAGAUUCUGUUUCUGGAAUAUAUUGAAUUCUGUGCCAUCUCUCAGCACUUAAGCAUGUCCUUAACUUUCCAC